rnacentral:rRNA from 1 species
UACGGGGGGAGCAAGCGUUGUUCGGAUUUACUGGGCGUAAAGGGCGCGUAGGCGGUCAGCACAAGUCAGUUGUGAAAUCUCCGGGCUUAACUCGGAAAGGUCAACUGAUACUGUGCGACUAGAGUGCGGAAGGGGCAACUGGAAUUCUCGGUGUAGCGGUGAAAUGCGUAGAUAUCGAGAGGAACACCAGUGGCGAAGGCGAGUCCCUGGACAACUCCUGACACUGAGGCACGAAAGCUAGGGGAGCAAACAGG